UGGAACACCAUGUCCAGAGUUGAUCUAGACGUCCGUGAUAUGCUAAAGAGGGUGGUUCUCCUUGGCAGGAAAAUACUUCAAAAGCCGGAAAAAGACGGAGGAGAAGUCUCCAUGGAAGACGAAGGAGCAGGCUAUUUCAAGAGAUUACGGAAAUGCUUUGUUCCAUUCCAUGUAGAUAGAUAAGCAAGCAUUUCGUUCUCAGGCAAUUUGUCUCGCCAGCUGCAACGGAUAUGCUUGGAAACGCUUGAUUUGAAAGAUGACUCGGUUCUAUCCGAUCGCAUCGGAAUGAUGCAACUGCAAGAGGGAGUAUGCCAAUCUGGUCGUUGGAACUCCAUUAAAUGGGAUUACAGAGGAGCCAUACCCGGACGGUAGCUUAAUGUAGUUUUCAAAUUAUUUAGGCACCUGGGAGACACUUUAUCUCAAAGCUAGUCAACUCUAAAAGAGGAGCUCUGGAAAGAGAUUGGAUAAGGCUGGCCUCACCAACGAAGCCAGCAAUCAUAUUGUCUGUUUAACAUUCUACUAAACGGUGUCAAAGUCUGUAUUAGAUUGGCUCCACGUCCUUGAGGGUGUCGAUCUAGCGUCUAAAUGUUCCCUUGAGAGAGGUCAGGGAGGAGAACCGAACCUUAAGUCUCUUUUAUGACAGAGACUACACCAACCACAACACCACGUAUCGUCUUACAGCUCUUGGGUUAUUGCAAUUAAUUGAUCAUUUAAUAUCUAACCGAUGGCUCCGGCUUCCAGUCCAACUAGUAUCAAAAAUGUUUUUUUUAGAACCUCCUUAUGAGCGAACUGAGGCUAAUCCGGGCUCAGUUUAAGAAGGCUUUUGAGUCAAACCAAUAUCCCAACAACCAAGAUGAAUCUUGUUACCAAACCAUCAUAAUAACAAUUGUUUAAGAAUCCCAAGCACUAAUCAACUCGUUGUAUUUCCGGAAUUGGUCUUGGAACAUGGUUCUAUUUGAGGUCAACGCGGGCCAAGGCCAAUCAAUGGUUACAGUAAGCCUCCAGCUACCUCCCUCCAACAAAUGAUCAUCAUCAGUCUACGAAGCAAACAUUUACAUUGCGUGAUCAACAACUGCGGAUGAGAGUUUGAAAUACCGGAUAACUAGAGCAAACACAUCUUGUGUGUAACCAAUGGUCGAGUGUCUUUCGUACCGUCAAGAGACACAAGGGAGCAACAAGAACUGGUGAGUGGUUCAAGGUCUCCCAAUGUUGACAUUUGAAGAGUGCAGCAUACAUCUUCAGCACACGUUUGUUGGACAAGAAACCUCAGAAGGUCAACUGUCGCAUUUCUUUUUCGUGGGACAUCAUGUGGCAGAGAAAGAAGGAGAACGAAGACUAGAAGGAUUGGAAAAGCUCUUUCGAAAUGGCCAAGUUGUCAAAGCAAUGUGGGAUCAAACUUGGAAAUGUGAGCCUCCCGGUCCAGAAAGUCCGGAAAGAGCAUUCUAAGUACGAGAGUAACCAACAUGGACAGUCGGGGCUUACUUUACAUUGAAUUACGGAUCUCCCACCACACACGAGAGCCAUCCCGAGAAACCAUUUGGCCUUUUUUAAGUGGGCGAUGGAGCAUGCUCCUGUAUACACAAUCCUAAGUCGUGAGCCAGCAACAACCCAAAUACAUCCAUCUCUACCCAAUGGCCCAAAUGUUGAAGUCAUGACACAACCAGUAACCCCCCUUGGAUUUACCAAAGCAAACUUUAUUUGCUUACUCAAACUCAAUGCCCUAGUCUUCAGUGACAGACAGACAGACCUACUCCUGAUUUUGAUUGAACUUUCUUCAUCCUUGCUUGCGCAUCUCCCACAGUAGCUAUAGAAUCAAACCACCACCAACACCGAAAUCUGGGCCAGCUGUCGGUGAUUGAGUGGACUUCAUUUCAAAGCGGACGAGAGAACACCAAGCCUCGCAAGAAAAGGACGAGUGGCGAACUCGAUGCUGAACGAGAGAUGGAGAGGACAAGACCAAGAAGGUGUGUGGUCUGUUCUUUUAUCCUCACCACGUGGAUUUCCCAAGGUGUGGAAGGGUCCGGAUCCUAAAUCUGAUACUUUGUCUUGAGCCUGCACAAACAUUGCGUAGCAUGUAACAAGAUUCAUUUCGGGAGUAAAUCUUCACCAUUGCCGGAUUUGGGACUCUGAACAGGAGUGGAACAUACCUUGAGAUAAGGUGACAUUUUGAUGGAACGUGACAAUGGAUCUACUAUUGAGGAGGUCUUUCAUAGAAAUAAAUUUGGAUCUCGAGUGGAGAUGCAAACCUCGCUUUCUCAAGGAACCACAUUUCAUCCUUAGUCGGAAUGGAUCGCAGGUCUUCUGACAUUUGUUUUAAUGUUUUUACAAAGAAAAAAAAACACCUUGCUCCUGCAUAAAGGUUGCGGCAUGGGCCAGCCCAUUUUCCUGCGUAAAUAAAAGAAGAACAGACCCAGACCUGUCAAAUUAUAGAUGAUCCUGCGGAGAACGCAAUCAACCCAAGUUUUAUCAUUGCCAAUCUCGUUCUCCCCCUCUUUUGCACAGAAAUAUGAACAUGAUGCACCGGACCAUUCUCUAAAAGCAACUGAUUGUUCCCCCGUAAAAAAGGAGAGGUUGCACCAAGAUGGAGCAAAGAGACGACGAGCCUCAUCUUUGGAGUGCAACACCACUCUAUUGGUGUCAUCAUACAACACACCUACCCCUCCAAAGCUCUGGCAGCAGACCCCAUUUGGUGCGGACCCUUCCAAGUUUUCCCUACAACAACAUCAAC